CGGUGUUUAACUGGCGUGAUGUGGGACGUCCUACCGGUGGGCUUAGCCUCGCGAGGGGCGGCCCAACUAAUAUCCCGUCGCGGGUGCUCUUACUGAGUGUCGAGUCGGGCCGGUACGUUUACUUUGAACAAUUAGAGUGCUAAAGCAGCUAUCCUCGCCUGAUACUGCGUGCAUGAAUAAUGAAUAGGACUCGGUCUAUUUGUUGGUUUUCGGAACCCCGAGGUAAUGAUUAAUAGGGACAGAUGGGGGCAUUCGUAUUGCGACGUUAGAGGUGAAAUUCUUGGAUCGUCGCAAGACGGACAGAAGCGAAAGCAUUUGCCAAAAAUGUUUUCAUUAAUCAAGAACGAAAGUUAGAGGUUCGAAGGCGAUCAGAUACCGCCCUAGUUCUAACCAUAAACGAUGCCAGCUAGCGAUCCGCCGAAGUUCCUCCGAUGACUCGGCGGGCAGCUUCCGGGAAACCAAAGCUUUUGGGUUCCGGGGGAAGUAUGGUUGCAAAGCUGAAACUUAAAGGAAUUGACGGAAGGGCACCACCAGGAGUGGAGCCUGCGGCUUAAUUUGACUCAACACGGGAAACCUCACCAGGCCCAGACACCGGAAGGAUUGACAGAUUGAUAGCUCUUUCAUGAUUUUAUGGGUGGUGGUGCAUGGCCGUUCUUAGUUGGUGGAGUGAUUUGUCUGGUUAAUUCCGAUAACGAACGAGACCUUAACCUGCUAAAUAGCCAGGCCGGCUUCGGCUGGUCUCUGGCUUCUUAGAGGGACUGUCAGCGUCUAGCUGACGGAAGUUUGAGGCAAUAACAGGUCUGUGAUGCCCUUAGAUGUUCUGGGCCGCACGCGCGCUACACUGACAGAGCCAGCGAGUUUCUAUACCUUGGCCGGAAGGUCUGGGUAAUCUUGUGAAACUCUGUCGUGCUG
rnacentral:rRNA from 1 species